rnacentral:lncRNA from 1 species
CUUGCAUCUGGGGAGUAUGUUUCCUGGCGGAGCGAUAUUUGUUUACAGGCUGAGGGCAGUACUGUAAGUGAGUAGCGCUUCGAGAAGGCGGCUCUGACAUAAAUUAAUAUUGAAAUUACUCCAUCAGCUCUGCUCGCCCCCCAUCUCACCCCCCAAGCGGAGUCUGGUCUUGUCGGAUUGCCCAUGCACUUGUUGCAGAAACAGCCAAGAACCAGGUCUCCUCUUCCCACCUGCCCAGCAGCAUGAGAGCAGCAUGACUGCCCGGCCGCAGGAGAAGCCCCCAGAGCCAGGCCCCCAACUCAACCAUCAGCUGCAGAGGUCAAGGUAAGCUUGCUUGCCUUUCUCCUGGAAGGUUCAGGCAUUUUUAUUUUAACUAAUUC